rnacentral:lncRNA from 1 species
ACUCUGAUAAUUAGUAGCAAAACCAAAAGUACGAUCAUAUCACAACCCAUAUCAAGUUUGAACUUCCAAGUCGUUUAAAUAAUAUCUGAACAUGGUAUAACCGGUAUGCCAUUGUUAAUUUUCCUACACUUAUCUUAGGUCAAACCUCUCUUAUCAUGAUCAAAGAUAAUUUAUACUUUCCUUCCACACUCAUCAAAAACCAAACCCGAUGCAUACAUUUUAUCAUAAUGCCCAGUGAUCUUACACCUUAAGCACCAAAUAUAAUUGUCAUGUCCCAAUUGAUCAUAACCUUAAGCUAUGAUAUAUUUAUGUCACAAUCCCUAAUGAUCUUAAACGUCAAACUCUAAUGCCAUUAAGCCUACAGUCCUUAGUGGUCUUAAGCUGUAGGUUAUAAUAUCAUUCAUGUUACAAUCUCAAGUGACUAUAAACCAAGGCUUUGAUAGUUUUUCUAUCAUAAUUCCCCACUCACACUUACCUGAACCUAAACCCUAGGAUACCUUAACCUUAA